ACUGUUAAUUGAACUAGAAGCUUUUACUAGCAACAUAUUUUUGUCGAAAAGAUGCAGUGGCUUUCCAUUAUUUGCACGGUUGCUCUGGUAUGCACCGCAGUUGGUAACACGUGCCCUGAUGGAAGAGUUUGCAAUGGAGAUUGUUGCAAGCGGUUCGUUUUUGGACAGAAAUACUGGUGCUGUCGACCACCGUGGGUCUGCUCGCAUAUGUCAUAUUUCUCAUUCUGCAUUUUAAAUCCAUUCGCGUUGAAGAGUGAAUCAUCCAGAGAUGCUGCGACUGAAAAUACCGUAGCUGGAAACGACGAAGUCAAACAACUUUCCAACAUUGAAAUGCCUACUCAUUGGGAAAAUCAGUAAGAUAGAGUGAUUUAGGUAUGGGACCAAGAACUGGAUUUAAACCUACUACAUCACCACACUCUUGCACGGAUUAUUAAAUUGAAGAAUCAUGAAAAUGUUUCAGAUUGAUUGAAUAAUUUAAGGUGCCCUUUGAUUGUACACCUCUGACCAAUGGUGUGAAAUGAAUAAAUAAGU